rnacentral:tRNA from 1 species
GUUUCUGUGGUGUAGGAAAGCACGUUAGGUUUUCGUCCUGAAGGCGUAUAAAGUAUGUACCAGAAAUU